rnacentral:rRNA from 1 species
CCUACGGGAGGCAGCAGUGAGGAAUAUUGGUCAAUGGGCGAGAGCCUGAACCAGCCAAGUCGCGUGAGGGAAGACGGUCCUAUGGAUUGUAAACCUCUUUUGCCGGGGAGCAAAAAGCGGUACGUGUACCGCAUCGAGAGUACCCGGAGAAAAAGCAUCGGCUAACUCGGUGCAAGCAGCCGCGGUAAUACGGAGGAUGCGAGGUUUAUCCGGAUUUAUGGGGUUUAAGGGGUGCGCAGGGGGCGGGUUAAGUAAGCGGUAAAAUUUCGGGGCUCAACCCCGACAAGCCGUUGAAACUGGCUUGCUAGAGUGGGCGAGAAGUAUGCGGAAUGCGUGGUGUAGCGGUGAAAUGCAUAGAUAUCACGCAGAACUCCGAUUGCGAAGGCAGCAUACCGGCGCCCAACUGACGCUCAGGCACGAAAGCGUGGGUAUCGAACAGGAUUAGAUACCCGAGUAGUC